rnacentral:rRNA from 1 species
AACGAACGCUGGCGGCAGGCUUAACACAUGCAAGUCGAGCGCCCCGCAAGGGGAGCGGCAGACGGGUGAGUAACGCGUGGGAAUCUACCCAUCUCUACGGAAUAACGCAUGGAAACGUGUGCUCAUACCGUAUACGUCCUUCGGAGAAAGAUUUAUCGGAGAUGGAUGAGCCCGCGUUGGAUUAGCUAGUUGGUGGGGUAAAGGCCUACCAAGGCGACGAUCCAUAGCUGGUCUGAGAGGAUGAUCAGCCACACUGGGACUGAGACACGGCCCAGACUCCUACGGGAGGCAGCAGUGGGGAAUAUUGGACAAUGGGCGCAAGCCUGAUCCAGCCAUGCCGCGUGAGUGAUGAAGGCCCUAGGGUUGUAAAGCUCUUUCACCGGUGAAGAUAAUGACGGUAACCGGAGAAGAAGCCCCGGCUAACCUCGUGCCAGCCGCCGCGGUAACAC